GGACUGUACGCUUGCUGAAGACCCCCUUGCUUAGACCUCCUGAGAUGUCCGAGGGCAGGGACUAGAACUCUGCAUCUGAACACAGGCUUGUGAGUAGGGCUGUGCCUUUGGCCAGACCUCUCAGCUGCUGACCACAUAUAUCUGUCUCUGAGCUUAUUGAAACGUCUCAUAUUUUGGAUUCUGGCUAUAUUAUAACAAAUGACACUUUGACAUCAGAUGUCAUUGGUCGAAGAG